GUCAUGUACUUGAGCCGGAGAGAUCAUGGGCACAGGCAACUGCUGGGAAGAAGGCCGAACCUCUCUGUGGGCGUUGUCGGCAUGGAGACCGCUGCUGACUGCAGGGCAGCUGUGCGGGAGCUGAAGGGAUGACAGGAACAGUAUUACAAAGCCUCCUCUCUCGUCCCCAGUGGGAGAAACCAGCUCAGUGGAACAUGACAAGUGCCUGAUCCUCUAUGGCGAUGACCAGGAAAUAGAACUCAGUCGACAAAAUUUUCCACCGGAUGUUAGAUCUGAAACCACUUCGGGGUUCUUCCUCAGCAAGCAAGUAGUUUUCCCCUGCAUACCACGGAAGCUUCCACCGAUGACUCAGCCUGUUAAACUUUGCCUCUUGACUCAGAAAGGAACUAACACGGAGGCUCCGCCUGGGCGGUGGGGUCUCUGGUGGGGUGGAGCUGGACUCUUUAACAACUGAACAGAAAUCCUGGGAACUGAUGAAGUACCCCAUAGAUCCAAAUCAGACUUGUCUGGGGGUACAGCCUGGCACAGUGGACCCAGUCAAUAAAGCUGGUUUUUUUUGUGGGAUUUUUGCUGUUCUUGUUCCCAUUGU